GAACGGAGAGAAGAAAUACAAGUAAAAUUAAUAAAUUAAAAAAAGACCGAAUACGAUUCCUGAUAUUCGGUCUAGGGAAAUGGCUCUUGGGAGAGAGCCGUGCGCUAAAAGUUGGUAUUAAUGUAGGCUUAUUCAGCCGCACUUCUUAAGCGUAGCCGAGUACCGACAUUUCGCCAACCUUGUAGCGGAACUAAAUAAUCACUGAUGUAAAUUAAUUAAGUAAUUUUACAGUUUUGGCCGAAUAAAAAUA
rnacentral:sRNA from 12 species